rnacentral:sRNA from 1 species
AAGGGCUAUUUUGUUUUAUUAUAAGCAUUAUAAUUUGUUAUUAUCCGACAAUUUUACAACUUGUAAUUAAGUCAAGGGGAACGAAUACAUGUAUCACUUUGCUGUUAGCAUCAAUUCAUUAUAAGCGUGUUCGCUAUAACCGUGUUUUACUGUAAUGCUGUCUGGAUUGAUGUUAUUUUAUUUGUAUGAGAUGUGCAUUGAUACCAUGUUAGGGCUGUCCACAGUUAAUUCCACAUUUUAAGCCUUUUUAGAAAUACAAAUCCUACUAAGGCAGAAAAUAAACAAACUUUUCAAACAGUGAUUUUUUGCGUUUACAAAUACAUACUAUAAAUGGACAAUUUUGAAGUUUUCAAAUUUUUAUUGUCAAUCAUAAAAAUUACUUGAACAGCCUGGUGAAAAAUGCAUACUUUGACGUUUAUCCCUCCAUGAGGAAAAGACUUUGGAAUUUGUCUGUAAUUACAUGUUAGUAGAUGUAUGAAGAUGUAAUUGCACAAUUUAAGUUGUAUGUGUUCUGUUUAUAUAGUGAUCAAUGCUUAAUAAUAAAUACAUCAC